rnacentral:rRNA from 1 species
GACGAACGCUGGCGGCGUGCUUAACACAUGCAAGUCGAACGGAAAGGCCCUUCGGGGUACUCGAGUGGCGAACGGGUGAGUAACACGUGGGUGAUCUGCCCUGCACUUUGAGAUAAGCCUGGGAAACUGGGUCUAAUACCGAAUAGGACCACGCGCUUCAUGGUGUGUGGUGGAAAGCUUUUGCGGUGUGGGAUGGGCCCGCGGCCUAUCAGCUUGUUGGUGGGGUAAUGGCCUACCAAGGCGACGACGGGUAGCCGGCCUGAGAGGGUGACCGGCCACACUGGGACUGAGAUACGGCCCAGACUCCUACGGGAGGCAGCAGUGGGGAAUAUUGCACAAUGGGCGCAAGCCUGAUGCAGCGACGCCGCGUGAGGGAUGACGGCCUUCGGGUUGUAAACCUCUUUCACCAGGGACGAAGCGUAAGUGACGGUACCUGGAGAAGAAGCACCGGCCAACUACGUG